UGCAGUCGAGCGGUAGCACAGAGAGCUUGCUCUCGGGUGACGAGCGGCGGACGGGUGAGUAAUGUCUGGGAAACUGCCUGAUGGAGGGGGAUAACUACUGGAAACGGUAGCUAAUACCGCAUAANGUCGCAAGACCAAAGUGGGGGACCUUCGGGCCUCAUGCCAUCAGAUGUGCCCAGAUGGGAUUAGCUAGUAGGUGGGGUAACGGCUCACCUAGGCGACGAUCCCUAGCUGGUCUGAGAGGAUGACCAGCCACACUGGAACUGAGACACGGUCCAGACUCCUACGGGAGGCAGCAGUGGGGAAUAUUGCACAAUGGGCGCAAGCCUGAUGCAGCCAUGCCGCGUGUGUGAAGAAGGCCUUCGGGUUGUAAAGCACUUUCAGCGGGGAGGAAGGCGNUGAGGUUAAUAACCUNGUCGAUUGACGUUACCCGCAGAAGAAGCACCGGCUAACUCCGUGCCAGCAGCCGCGGUAAUACGGAGGGUGCAAGCGUUAAUCNGGAAUUACUGGGCGUAAAGCGCACGCAGGCGGUCUGUCAAGUCGGAUGUGAAAUCCCCGGGCUCAACCUGGGAACUGCAUUCGAAACUGGCAGGCUAGAGUCUUGUAGAGGGGGGUAGAAUUCCAGGUGUAGCGGUGAAAUGCGUAGAGAUCUGGAGGAAUACCGGUGGCGAAGGCGGCCCCCUGGACAAAGACUGACGCUCAGGUGCGAAAGCGUGGGGAGCAAACAGGAUUAGAUACCCUGGUAGUCCACGCCGUAAACGAUGUCGAUUUGGAGGUUGUGCCCUUGAGGCGUGGCUUCCGGAGCUAACGCGUUAAAUCGACCGCCUGGGGAGUACGGCCGCAAGGUUAAAACUCAAAUGAAUUGACGGGGGCCCGCACAAGCGGUGGAGCAUGUGGUUUAAUUCGAUGCAACGCGAAGAACCUUACCUGGUCUUGACAUCCACAGAACUUUCCAGAGAUGGAUUGGUGCCUUCGGGAACUGUGAGACAGGUGCUGCAUGGCUGUCGUCAGCUCGUGUUGUGAAAUGUUGGGUUAAGUCCCGCAACGAGCGCAACCCUUAUCCUUUGUUGCCAGCGGUUNGGCCGGGAACUCAAAGGAGACUGCCAGUGAUAAACUGGAGGAAGGUGGGGAUGACGUCAAGUCAUCAUGGCCCUUACGACCAGGGCUACACACGUGCUACAAUGGCAUAUACAAAGAGAAGCGACCUCGCGAGAGCAAGCGGACCUCAUAAAGUAUGUCGUAGUCCGGAUUGGAGUCUGCAACUCGACUCCAUGAAGUCGGAAUCGCUAGUAAUCGUAGAUCAGAAUGCUACGGUGAAUACGUUCCCGGGCCUUGUACACACCGCCCGUCACACCAUGGGAGUGGGUUGCAAAAGAAGUAGGUAGCUUAACCUUCGGGAGGGCGCUACCACU
rnacentral:rRNA from 1 species